GACGAACGCUGGCGGCGUACUUAACACAUGCCAGUCGAACGCUGAAGCUCAGCUUUUGUUGGGUGGAUGAGUGGCGAACGGGUGAGUAACACGUGAGUAACCUGCCUCCUUCUUUGGGAUAACGCCCGGAAACGGGUGCUAAUACUGGAUAUUCACUGGUCUUCGCAUGGGGGUUGGUGGAAAGGGUUUUUCUGGUGGGGGAUGGGCUCGCGGCCUAUCAGCUUGUUGGUGGGGUGAUGGCCUACCAAGGCUUUGACGGGUAGCCGGCCUGAGAGGGUGACCGGUCACAUUGGGACGGAGAUACGGCCCAGACUCCUACGGGAGGCAGCAGUGGGGAAUAUUGCACAAUGGGCGCAAGCCUGAUGCAGCGACGCCGCGUGAGGGAUGGAGGCCUUCGGGUUGUGAACCUCUUUCGCUCAUGGUCAAGCCGCAACAAUGGUUGUGGUGAGGGUAGUGGGUAAAGAAGCGCCGGCUAACUACGUG
rnacentral:rRNA from 1 species